UCCAAAUAAAAGGGCAAAACCGGCAAGGCGAAAGUAUGAAAACCCUAAUAAAGUCUCAGUCUCCGUCCUUUAAAUCGUCUCGCCGCGGCCUCCGCUUCUCCAACCGAAAACUCCAGAGCCUCUCUCCCCUUCUUCCCCAUUCUGUCUUUUCUUUUCUUUUUUCUCUUUAAUUAGUAUUUGUGGAAAAUUAGUAGGAAAUCAGGUGAUGAAUUUGGAUUAAUCAUCUCACGACGGUCGUCUGAGACUCGGUGUCGAAGCUGAAACGAUCCUUUGCAUCUGAUGGUUUCUAAACCUGUAAUUUUUUUUUCUUCUAAUUUUUGUAUGAAUUCUUCUUACAUUUUCUCUUUGAUUUCAUCGAGAAAUUAAAAUUAAUUACUUUAACCCGCCAUUGCUUUUGCUUGUGAAGUUAAUAUUUAGAUUAAUGUACUUUUAAAAUAUGAAAUCUUUGAGUUUUUAUUUAUUUAUUUAUUUAUUAUUUUUGUAAAUUGAAGAGGCACGAUGAGGAGUAAUUAUAGUAGUGGUAUGAGGUUCAUAUAUCGAUGACUAAUAAUUUUAGUCCUUUUCAUUCUGAGUGCCUUUAUCCUUCUUAUUUUUUAUUUUUUUUAAACGAAUUGCGGGAAAUUUUAAUUUCUUGGUCAAGAACCCUAAUGUAGCUUCUUCAGCAAGAAACAUAUGAUUGUAAAUUGUAAUCGAAGAUGAUUCAUCUCCAGUUUAAGAUCAAUGAGCCUAGAGUCGAGUUUACAUAUAAUUAUGCUCAUCUUGUUUCUGUAAAAAGUACUUCUAUUCUUAGGAGUUUUGUUGCUGUAAGUGUUAAAAAUCGAUUUGAUAUGAUUUUUACAUGAAAGUAUUUGAAAGCCAUUUUUAUAACUAUGGAAAUAUUUUUAAGAGAAAUUUUAUUUGGACCAGUUAUCUUAUCUUGGAUUAGAAAUGGUUGGUUUAGUGGGUGAGAAAUGUUUGGUUUGGUGAUUUCAAAUUGGAAGUGUUGGCUUGGUUUGUGCAAGAAGGGCAGGGAUGUGGUGUUUUAUAUAAAAAUUUUAGUGAAGAGAUUGCAUUUAGUUUAGUUGGAAUCUCUCUUCAUCAUGCAUGAGAGAAUUAUUAAAGGUUUAAGGUAAUGACAGUCAAUAAUAAGCUAUAUGAACCAUGCAGAAGAAAUUUUCUAACUUCUCAAUACCAUUUGACCCCUCAAUACUAUUUGAAUGACAGAUUGAAGGUAAUAACAACCAGUAAUAAGUUAAUCUAUCUUCAUCAUGUAUGACAGAUUUAUUAUUGGAAAUUCUAACUCCUCAAUACUCUUUGAGUUCCCCAGUUUAUUUUGUGGAUCUUGAAUGAACUCUUAGAUAGAUUAUUUGUAGAGAAUGAUUGUUUAUUUUGUUUCUUUGUUUGAAAUAGGAGAGAAAUGUUUGGUUUAGUAAUUUUAAAUUGGAAGCCUUAGGCAAAGGGUUGGCUCUAUGCAAGAAGUACAGGGAUGGAGGGCUUUAUAUAAGAAUGUUAAGUGAAGAUGUUGCAUUUAGUUUAGUUGGGUUUGUGGAAGAACUAAAUUAAAAGCAACCUCUUCACUAACGUUCUUAUAUAAAGCCUUCUAAGCCUCCCAUCCAUCCACUUCUCGCACAAAACCAAACAUUUGGCCAACGCUUCCAAUUUGAAAUCAUUAAACCAACCAUUUCUCCCCCAUUUCAAAGAAAGAAAAAAAAAACAAAUUCUCUACAAAUAAUGUCUAUCCAAGAGUUCAUUCACGAUCCUUAAAAUAGACUAGGGAACUCAAAGAGUAUCGAGUGGUUAGAAUUUCCAAUAAUAAAGUAUCAAGUAGUUAGAAUUUCCAAUAAUAAAUCUGGCAUGCAUGAUGAAGAAAGAUUCCAACUAAACUUAUUACUGGCUGUCAUUACCUUACCUUAAAUUUGUCAUUAGUAUUGAGGAAUUUAAAUUUGUCAUUAGUAUUGAGGAGGAAUUUAAAUUUGUCAUUAGUAUUGAGGAGUUAGAACAUUUAUUCUGCAUGGGUCAUAUAACUUAUUACUGGUUGUCAUUACCUCAAACCUUUAAUAAUUCUCCAUGAUUCAAACUUUUAAUAAUUAUCUCAUGCAUGAUUAAAAGAGAUUCCAACUAAUCUAAAAGCAUCCUCUUCACUAAAAUUCUUAGAUAAAUCCCCAUCCCUCCACUUCUUGAACAAAAUCAACCCUUUAGCCAACGCUUCCAAUUUGAAAUCACUAAACCAACCAUUUCUCUCCUAUCUCAAAUAAAGGAAAAAAAAAAAACAACCAACCAUUCUCUACAAAUAAUGUCUAUCGAUGAGUUCAUUCAAGAUCCACAAAAUAGACCACGGAACGAGUAUUGAGGAGAAUUUCCAAGAUCCACAAAAUAGACUACGGAACAAGUAUUGAGGAGAAUUUCCGUACCCCCUAUACUAUAUAUGCUAUGAAAUAAUGGUUUGUAUUAUUUACUUUGUAUGCUUCAUUAGAAUUUAUACGUGCUAUGAUACAACGGUUUGUAAGUUGAACACUUUCUUGUAAUUCUUCUUAUAUUCCAUGUAUAAUGUUUAGAUAAUGAGGUAUGUAUUGACUAUUAUAUAUGCUUUGUAAUUUGGAUUUGGAUAUUUUCCCCUGGGCAUGAGGGUUAGAAGAAGUACAGUGGUGGAGAAUGAUCUGUCAUCUCUUUUGUAGCAAUCCAUGUCUCCGCAGCAAGCCUUCUUCCCACGUAUCUAUAUGACUUUGAUUUGAAAGCCCUGAUCAAACUACUAUUCCUCCUAUCAAAGUUUAGAAUUUGGUUAUUCACCAUGUACGAGGAUCCCCGUUAAGCAUCCCCGACCCCUCAAAGACAACUCGGCAGUGGAGGGAUCUUCAAGAGUACAUAAAUGUGAUGUACAAUGUUUAGUGAAUGUGUACUUCAAGCUCUCUGUUAAGUAUUUUAAUGUUUGGUUCUAGAGUGAUCGAAAUGACAACAAAAUAUUCUUCUGAGUUCUGAUA